rnacentral:rRNA from 1 species
UACGGGGGGGGCAAGCGUUGUUCGGAAUUACUGGGCGUAAAGGGCUCGUAGGCGGCCCGCUAAGUCGAACGUGAAAUCCCUGGGCUCAACCCAGGAACUGCGUCCGAUACUGGCAGGCUUGAAUCCGGGAGAGGGAUGCGGAAUUCCAGGUGUAGCGGUGAAAUGCGUAGAUAUCUGGAGGAACACCGGUGGCGAAGGCGGCAUCCUGGACCGGCAUUGACGCUGAGGCGCGAAAGCCAGGGGAGCAAACGGG